rnacentral:rRNA from 1 species
GACGAAGGAUUCAAGCGUUGUCCGGAUUUACUGGGUUUAAAGGGUGCGUAGGUGGAUUAAUAAGUCAGUGGUGAAAGCCCGGAGCUCAACUCCGGAACUGCCAUUGAUACUGUUAGUCUUGAGUACAGUUGAGGUGGGCGGAAUGUGUCAUGUAGCGGUGAAAUGCUUAGAUAUGACACAGAACACCGAUUGCGAAGGCAGCUCACUAAGCUGUAACUGACACUGAGGCACGAAAGCGUGGGGAGCAAACAGG